rnacentral:rRNA from 1 species
UACGUAGGGGGCGAGCGUUGUCCGGAAUUAUUGGGCGUAAAGAGCGUGUAGGCGGUUUUGUAAGUCUGCUGUGAAAUCCUGGAGCUCAACCCUGGGAGUGCAGCGGAUACUGCCGGGCUAGAAGGUGGUAGAGGCGAGUGGAAUUCCGAGUGUAGCGGUGAAAUGCGCAGAUAUUCGGAGGAACACCAGUGGCGAAGGCGGCUCGCUGGGCCACACCUGACGCUGAGGCGCGAAAGCGUGGGGAGCGAACAGG